rnacentral:rRNA from 1 species
UACGUAGGGGGCAAGCGUUGUCCGGAAUCAUUGGGCGUAAAGAGCUCGUAGGCGGCUUGUCGCGUCGUCCGUGAAAACUUGGGGCUCAACCCCAAGCUUGCGGUCGAUACGGGCAGGCUAGAGUUCGGUAGGGGAGACUGGAAUUCCUGGUGUAGCGGUGAAAUGCGCAGAUAUCAGGAGGAACACCGGUGGCGAAGGCGGGUCUCUGGACGGUUUCUGACACUAAGACACGAAAGCGUGGGGAGCAAACAGG